UACGUAGGGUGCAAGCGUUGUCCGGAAUUAUUGGGCGUAAAGAGCUCGUAGGCGGUUUGUUGCGUCGGCUGUGAAAUCCCGAGGCUCAACCUCGGGUCUGCAGUCGAUACGAGCAAACUAGAGUGUUGCAGGGGAGACUGGAAUUCCUGGUGUAGCGGUGAAAUGCGCAGAUAUCAGGAGGAACACCGGUGGCGAAGGCGGGUCUCUGGGCAGCAACGUGACGCUGGAGGAGCGAAAGCGUGGGGAGCGAACAGG
rnacentral:rRNA from 1 species